CAAUCUUGGCUGAAUGCGAUGGCUCCCAGUGCAGGGAGGGCUCGGCUCGGCGCUGCUGCGGAAUGGAAGACUGCCGCUCGCCUGCCCUUCUGUCUCUCGUCUAGACUCAAAGUGCCAUGGUUUGAGAGUCUUACCUGGCUCUCUUCAGAUAAACAGUCUUCAGGACCCUAAAGGCGCAGAGGGAAGGAUUAAGAAGAACGGCUGUGCAAUGGGUUUCUGUUCCUGUUUGCUUUUGUUUGAGACACUGAGCCCCCCUCUUACCAGGAUCAUCUGUCUGCCUGGUGGACGAGCUGCAUCCUGCCCACUGCAACAAUUUCACAUAGAGAUGUACUCAGCCUGGGAAGCGUGGGACCACGGCCAAGCAGCAGCUGCUGACCAGCCAGUGCUGACCUGUGCGCUUAGGCGAACUGGAUUUCACCACACGCCCACCGGCCUGGUCCUGCAUACCUCCACAGGCGGACCGUGGUUACGUGUAUCCCAGCAUGCCCCGAUGUAGCCACGUGGACAUGGAUGCUUGGAAGUGUCGGUGUCCAAACAGCAACAAGAAAAACACAGUUAGACCAGUGUUCUUUUUAGUGGUGGUACUAAAAGAGAAGGAUAAAUCUGUACUAAAUACAUUUUAAACAAUUAUUGUUCAGUGUUUACAUGAACAUUUAUAGAAAAUAUAACUAAAUACUAACAGUGUACUCUAUUUAAUUGUUUAUUAAUGAAUUCUGUUUUAUUUCCCUACAGCCAUUGAGAUUCCACCCUUGCCUCUUGGCUUUGGCCUACUGUAAUUUCCAUGGCAACCAGUAAAUUGGUUAGCAGGAUGAGUAAUGAAAUGACGUGAUGGAAAUGGAAGGUCCCAACAAAGAACUUAUUACACCUUUUUUUAUAACAUUCCAUUGUUGUCAAGUGCUCCUGAUAUUAACCUCCCUCUGCCAGGGUUCCCUGGACCUAAAACAGUGCACGUGCAUAUUGUCAAGUCUCCAGACAGAACAGAGAGUGAAAGAGAGCAAUGGGAAGAGGGCAAUAUCUCUCUUCACCACUCUCUCUCUCUCUUUUCAUCACCUUAACAAUUUCUGGGCUGAAGGACAUGCAGAACACUUGUUAAUUCACUUUCGGUUUACCUUUGGACUAACAAUGCUGAGAUAGUGAAAUAUGAAUGGAGAUCAACAUAAAUUUAUCUUAUAUCCUGCUUUAAAUAUUAUCAGCAUAUUAGAAUGGUUUCUGAAGGAUCAUGUGACACAAGCAACUUAGAAGGUGAAAGAGCACUGAGAGAGAGGUAGAUUAGGGGGAAGUGAUAGAGCUGGCACAGGAUGUUUGAGUGUUUGCUCUUGCUUUAACAACAUCCUCUGCACAGACACACAGGCAGGUAGUGAGAUGAGGUCGGAGAUAGAAGACUGUAGUCGGCCUGGUCUGCUGCCUGACCCAUUGUUUUACUUAUCUCUGUCCUGGCCUAUCUGCUGGGCCGGGGGCUAUUGAAGAGUGGGCAGGGGGAUGGAUGAGCACUGAUAAAAAGACAAAGACAAGUGCUUCUGCUUCAUUCAGAAACCGCAGGGAAGUACUGGCCCUAAUUAGUUGAUCAACAUAUUGGUGCUCAAUUAUCCAGUGCCUGGUCGGAUUGGGUUGGGAUGUAGGCCUGCCGGUUGGAAGAUAUGAGGGGAUCUAAUUUAACUAAUUAACUAACACAUUUCGAUAUUGAGUAAUCUUUGGGCUUGUAAUCUUCUGUUUGAAGAGAGAAGCCUGGUAAAACAUCUUGGAAAGGUUUAGUACAUGCAAGAUUUGAGCUUGGAACAGCUCAUAGUAAAAUCCAUGUACACUCAAAAAAAAAAAAACACUUUGAACUGUCCAAUGAAAGGUUCUUUGGGGAACCAUGGUUCUUCUUUGGUAUUGCUGUGAAAACUCUCUUUUGGAACCUCUGUUUUUAAGAAUGUUUUUGCCAUUGAUGGUUCCAUCGAGAGCCUUGAAUAUCAACCUUUUCAGAAAACACAAGGUUCUGGAGAAAAGUGUCUUUAGAUCACUGAAAUGUUUUUUACACUUUUUUCAAAUGUUCACUGAAAAGUUAUUUGAGAAACCAAAAUGCCUCUUCUGCCAGAGGGAAAACCCUUUAGGAACAUUCUUAAAACUAAAGGUUCCAAAAGAGAGGACUGAAGAAGUUUGAAAUUUGAGAUUUAUUUCUGAACAUAAUCAGGGAAUCAGAUUUCCUUGAUCAAUCACUGUGUUUUAGCAUGAAGGGGUUGCAGGGAAGGGAUGGCUCUCAACACACAUCAGUGUCAGUGUGGGAAAUCACAUCCAUCAAAUAACAGCAUUGCAUAUGGUUCAAAUAACGUUAAGGUUAGAGCAAUGCUGGCCAGUGGUAAGAGAGAGAGAGAGUAACACUGACCCUGAGAUGCCUUUAGGUGAAGCUGUUGUCCUGGAGGUCUGCCCCCUCUCUCUCUGUGGGGUAAGGGUGCAUUGCCUCUGGACAAUGUGCUCCCUCAGUAGGGUCACUAUAGUCCCAGAGGGACACUUUACCCUCACACAUGGUCCCAGAGGCAGAGGGAGCAUGUUGCAUGCUACAGGAAUUCCCUCACCAUGAUUUAUUUUUUUAUUACACAUACUAUUGUUUGACUGUAAAGCAGUUCACAUGUCUGCCUCUGAGAGAAGAACAUAUGCACAGUUAUUUUUAAUUUGAGCAAAGGUACUUCGUAUGAUUUUGUUCUGAUGGUUAAUUGCCAUUCAAAUAAUUUCAGUUUACGAUAUAAUUUUGUAUUUCUUGGUAUGAAUAAAAAUAAUAAACCAGACCCAUAUGAUUUUCUUCAAUACUAUGAAAAUUAAUAAUAUAAAAUAAUAGAAUAAUAGAAUUAAACUUAAUUAUUGUUGUUAUCUCCAAUAUCUGCAGUGGCAUUCAUUUAUUUGGCAUUUAUGUUCAGC
rnacentral:lncRNA from 1 species